CUAUACAUGACUCUGCGCAUAUCAAUAAGCGGAGGAAAAGAAACUAACAAGGAUUCCCCUAGUAACGGCGAGUGAAGCGGGAAGAGCUCAAAUUUGAAAUCUUAAAGGGUUUCCCUUUACGAAUUGUAGUUUAAAGAAGUGUUUUCUGUUGAGGUUUUGGUAAAAGUUCUUUGGAAUAGGACAUCAUAGAGGGUGAGAAUCCCGUAUUUGACCUUUACUUUCAACUUUGUGAUACACUUUCAAAGAGUCGGAUUGUCUGGGAAUGCAGUCCAAAAUGGGUGGUAAAUUUCAUCUAAAGCUAAAUAUUGGCGAGAGACCGAUAGCGAACAAGUACCGUGAGGGAAAGAUGAAAAGAACUUUGAAAAGAGAGUUAAACAGUACGUGAAAUUGUCAAAAGGGAAGCGUUUGACACCAGUGUUGUUUUUCUGAAAAUCAAUUAAAGAACUGUUUAUGCUAAGUUGUUUAGACUUUAUCAGCUAACUGUUUAGUUUUGAGCUUUUCUUUAAUGCACUUUUCAGUCAACAAGUCAACAUCAAUUUCUUUUGCUGUAAAAAAGCUUGAGGAAGGUGGCUUGAGAUUCGUCUUAAGUGUUUAUAGCCUCUUGCCUAUGCAGUCGGAGAGAUUGAGGUCUGCAGCGUAGAUCCUUCGGGGCUAAAUGCAUUUGUGCUAAGUUAUAACAUUUUAUAGACAACUUGUUGACUAUGAUUUGUCUUGUAGCUUACUCGCUUAUGUUAUUUUACCUACGCUUAGGAUGUUGAGCGCAUGUCUCUCUCU
rnacentral:rRNA from 1 species